rnacentral:rRNA from 1 species
AUACGUAGGGUGCGAGCGUUGUCCGGAAUUACUGGGCGUAAAGAGCUCGUAGGUGGUUUGUCGCGUCGUCUGUGAAAUUCCGGGGCUUAACUCCGGGCGUGCAGGCGAUACGGGCAUAACUUGAGUACUGUAGGGGAGACUGGAAUUCCUGGUGUAGCGGUGAAAUGCGCAGAUAUCAGGAGGAACACCGGUGGCGAAGGCGGGUCUCUGGGGAGUAACUGACGCUGAGGAGCGAAAGCAUGGGUAGCGAACAGGAUUAGAUACCCUGGUAGUCCAUGCCGUAAACGGUGGGCGCUAGGUGUAGGGGUCUUCCACGACUUCUGUGCCGUAGCUAACGCAUUAAGCGCCCCGCCUGGGGAGUACGGCCGCAAGGCUAAAACUCAAAGGAAUUGACGGGG